rnacentral:tRNA from 1 species
GAGGGUGUGGCUCAGUGGCAGGGCACCUGCUUAGCAUGCAUGAGGUCUUCGGUUCGAUCCCUGGUACCUCCA